rnacentral:sRNA from 1 species
GUCGGGUGUGGUGGUGCACACCUGUAAUCCCAGCGGCUUGGGAGGCUGAGGCAGGAGAAUCAAAGUCAGCCUCAGCAAUUUAGCAAGGUCCUAGGUAGCUUAGCAAGAUCCUGUCUCAA